ACGCCCAUUUCACAUUGAAACGCCAUUCUCAUGAGAUCACUGAAGUUAAGCAGUGUUGAGCCUGAUCAGUACCUAGAUGGGUGACCACUAGGGAAUAUCAAGUGUUGUAAG